rnacentral:rRNA from 1 species
AUUGAACGCUGGCGGCAUGCUUUACACAUGCAAGUCGAACGGCAGCACGGGUGCUUGCACCUGGUGGCGAGUGGCGGACGGGUGAGUAAUACAUCGGAACGUGUCCAGAAGAGGGGGAUAACGCAUCGAAAGAUGUGCUAAUACCGCAUAUACUCUAAGGAGGAAAGCAGGGGAUCGAAAGACCUUGCGCUUUUGGAGCGGCCGAUGUCUGAUUAGCUAGUUGGUGGGGUAAGGGCCUACCAAGGCGACGAUCAGUAGUUGGUCUGAGAGGACGACCAGCCACACUGGGACUGAGACACGGCCCAGACUCCUACGGGAGGCAGCAGUGGGGAAUUUUGGACAAUGGGCGCAAGCCUGAUCCAGCAAUGCCGCGUGAGUGAAGAAGGCC